UAUGGUUGUGUGCCAGCAGCCGCGGUAAUACGUAGGGGGCAAGCGUUAUCCGGAUUUACUGGGUGUAAAGGGAGCGUAGACGGACUGGCAAGUCUGAUGUGAAAGGCGGGGGCUCAACCCCUGGACUGCAUUGGAAACUGUUAGUCUUGAGUGCCGGAGAGGUAAGCGGAAUUCCUAGUGUAGCGGUGAAAUGCGUAGAUAUUAGGAGGAACACCAGUGGCGAAGGCGGCUUACUGGACGGUAACUGACGUUGAGGCUCGAAAGCGUGGGGAGCAAACAGG
rnacentral:rRNA from 1 species